rnacentral:tRNA from 1 species
GCCUGGGUGGCUCAGUUGGUUGGGCGUCUGACUUCAGCUUAGGUCAUGAUCUCAUGGUUUGUGGGUUCAAGCUCCAUGUCGGGCU